GGAAAAGCUCCCCCAUAAUUCAAUUACCUUCACCUGGUCACUCCCAUGACAUGCUUUGAAGAACAAGCUGCCAUGAAUCCUGCAGCUACAAGGAAAUGAACUCUAUUAACUUGAGUGAGCUUAAAACUAGAUCCUUCCCCAGUCAAGCCUCCAGGUGAGAAUUCAAUCCUGGCUGGCACCUGGAUUGCAGCUUACAGAAGACCCAGCUAAGGCCAUGUCUGGACUUUAAAUCCACAGGAACUGCAAGAUGGUAUCAGAAGUGGGACCUGCAGUGGGGCAUCUAGCAACCCCCAGGAGCAUUGAGUGACCAGGCUUGGGACCCACCGGGCGCAGGGUGUCCAUUGUUCUCUCGAAGCAACUGAGAAUUGUGGAUAUUCUUCAUUAUUCCAUCAUCAUCUCAAACCUCUUGGGUAUAGUGUUUGACUACUACUGUGACCAUAAAUUCCAAUAAAACCUAGGAAAAAUGAAACCACUACAUUAACUGAAAGGGAAGGAUUUGACAGCUUCUUUUGGGCAUAUCAGAAUCGCCAGCAUCACUACUCUUGCACUGUGCGGCCAUUAUUAAGUGAAAUAAGGAUUACUUGAACACAAGCACUGCAAUGCCGCUACAGUCAAUGUGAUAACCCAGCUGGUGACUAAGUGACCAAGGACGGGGAGUAUCUACAGCGGGGAGACUCUGGAAAAAGGGAGGAUUCACAUCCAGUGCCACUGGGGCAGGGCAGAAUGAGAGUUCAUCAUGCUACAAAGAAUGGCACAGAAUAUACGACUUGUGAGUGGAUUAUCUCUGGAAUUUUCUGUUGACUACAUUUGUACUACAGUUGUAUGUGGGUAACAAACUGUGGAAAGUGAAACUUCGGGUAAGGGGGAGGCUACCGUAGAUAGCCCAGUAUUUCUUAUUUUGUGGAUUUGUUUAUCUUUCUGCUCACAUCCUUUUCCUUCUGCAUUACCAUUUUAGUAAAAAUAGAUAGCAUCCAUUUGGUGUUUAGUAUGUUUUUGGCACAGUCGAACAUUUUACAAACAUUAUAUCAUUUAAUCUGCA
rnacentral:lncRNA from 1 species